rfam:Oryza barthii chromosome 3, whole genome shotgun sequence.
UUUAAAUGUAGCCAUGAAUUUCUGUGUCUAACUUUGAUCGUGCAUCUUAUUUUAAUUUUUCAUUGUUAUUAUAUAAUAAGACAUGAAUGAUACUUUAUAUGUAGUUUUUGUUUUUUAUUUUUUAAAAAAGAAUAAAUAAAAUGAAUCAUUAAAGUUGGACAUGAAAUCCUGGCUGCGCUUAAA